GACAGCCCUUACACACACAAGUAAAACGGUAGCACAGAGGAGUAGAAUCAUUGGGUUUUGAGUGGCGGGCGGCUGAGUAGUGUAUGGGGUACUGCCCGAUCGAGGGGGAGGGGAAUUGGACGCGGUAGCUAAUAUUGCAUAACGUCGCAAGAUCAAAGAGGGGGACGUUCGGGCCUCUUGCCAUCGGAUGUGCCCAGAUGGGAUUAGAUAGUAGGUGGGGUAACGGGUCACCUACAUGACGAUCCAUAGAUGAUUAGAGAUGAUGACCAGCAGCUCCGCCACUGAGGCACGGUCCAGACUCCUACGGUAGGCAGCAAUGGGGCAUAUUGCACAAUGGGGCCAAGCGCGAUCCUGCCAUACAGCCGGUAGGAAGAAGGCAUUUGGGUCGUAAAGUACUUUCAGGGAGGAGGAAGAGGUUGAGGCUAAUAUCCGAGUAGAUUCGUGUUUGUCGCAGAAGAAGCACCGUCUAACUCCUUCCCACCAGCCAGCGGUAAAUAAGGAAGGGGGUGCUAAGCGUUAAUUGGAAAUUAUUGGCGGUAAAGCACACGCAGUCGGGGUGUUGUCAAAGUAGGAAGUGAAAUCCCCCGGGGCUCCAACCCUUGGGAAGCUCCAUCCGGAAAACUGGCAGAUAUAGAGUAUUGUAGAGGGGGGGUAGAAUUCCCAGGUGUAGCGGUUGAAAAUGAGUAGAGAUUUGGGAGGAAAUACCGGCGGCGAAGGCGGCCCCCCCUGGACAAAAGAUCUGACCGCUCAGGUGCGAAAGCGUGGGGAGCAAACAGGAUUAGAUACCCUGGUAGUCCACCCCGUAAACGAUGACGGACUUGGAGGUUGUGCCCUUGAGGCGUGACUUCCGGAGCUAAAGCGAUAAGUAGCCCCCCUGGGGAGUACGUCCGCAAGGUUAAAACUCAAAUGAAUUUACGAGGGCCCGCACAAGCGGUGGAGCAUGUGGUUUACUUGUAUGCAACGUGAAGAACCUUACAUACUCUUGACAUCCAGAGAAAUUAGCAGAGAUACUUUGGUGCCUUCGGGAUUUUUGAGACAGGUCCUGCAUGGCUGUAGUCAGCUCGUGUUGUGAAAUGUUGGGUUAAGUCCCGCAAUGAGCGCAACCCUUAUCCUUUGUUUCCAACGGUCCGGCCGGGAACUCAAAGGAGACUACCAGUGAUAACCUGGAGGAAGGUGGGGAUGGCGUCAAGUCAUCAUGGCCCUUACGAGUAGGGCUACACACGUGCACAAUGGCAUAUACAAAGAGAAGCGACCUCACGAGAGCAAGCGGACCUCAUAAAGUAUGUCGUAGUCCGGAUUGGAGUAUGCAACUCGACUCCAUGAAGUCGGAAUCGGUAGUAAUCGUGGAUCAGAAUUCCACGGUGAAUACGUUCCCGGGCCUUGUGCCCACCCCCCGUCACACCAUGGGAGCGGGUUGCAAAAGAAGUAGGUAGCUUAACCUUCGGGA
rnacentral:rRNA from 1 species